UCUCACCACACUGUAAAUUAGCGAGACGGUUUCUUGAUCGAAAACAUUUGGGGGGCAACAGAGGGGCCUCGAAAUGUGAGAGGAGAGGCAUGUUCUGCUUUAGCGUGCGGGGGUGGCGGUUCAACUUUUGGUGUCUUUUCAAUUAGGAAGGUCCACAAAAACAAACCUUUGGAGUCCCAGCAGAGGAGUGAGACCCGGAGGAUACAGCAUAUAUCUGUAUGUUUUCUUGUCUGGGUGCUGACAUCAUCCUUCAAAAGCUCCAUGUGGACGGUGAAGCUCCACUUCUGGAGAGGAUCUGCAACCAAAUCAGCUGCGAGUAUGAAUGUAAACGCCAAGUCAAAUGUCUGACAAGAAUCAUCUGUAUUUAAUCACUCUUCCAUCUUCCUCAGAGCUGUGUGGAGACCUGAUCCUUGUCUCUCUGCUUAUACAUUUGCACAUAAAAGGUAAACAUGGAGCAAAAAAAAAAAAAAAAAGCUCCAGGGGAGGAAACAGAGAGCAGACAUUACCAGAUUGCUUUGCUCUGUCUGUGGCGCAUACAGAGUGAGUGUAUGUGUGUGUGGGGGGGGGUAAGUUAAACGCAGCUAAAUUUAAGUCAUUCCCAGGGGCCAGGCCAAACAAAGGCUCAGGAAAAGGGUCCUGCUCUGCUGCAGGGGCCGCUGUACCGCUGCUGGUCUGAAAAACAACAGGAAACACAUGUGGAGCGUUCGAUACAGUGAGGAACCAGGAGUUUACCCAGCAGCCGGGAACCAGGGAUGCCGGGACGGAGGCCUGACCCGAUCGGGCCGGUUCCAGCUGACACUUCCUCAUCCGCUGUGUGGUGCAAAGGUCAGAGCCGUGGGGCGGGAUGGGCAGAAACCUGUGCUGAUCUCAGCUCCAGGAAGCAACACAUGGAGCGGGAUGGAAGGACAGAUGGAUGUUUUCAUCCCGUCUGUGGCAAAAGCCCUUCCACGGCUCUGUCAUGCUUACAUAAUAGAAAAGCACAGAAUGAACAGCCUGAAAAGCAGAUGUAUUUGAGAAGUUAACAGUUUUAGCAGCCAUUUGGAAGAAAAGAACCACGCCUGUGUCUUCUAUUCAGGACAGAAGAGUUAGGCCUGUUGGACAGAGACUGAAAUGAAGCCAUGUGAUCACACUCCCAAUGAACAGAACAUCAUCUUCACCAAAGACUGCCAUCACCGACUCAUCUAAUUACUGUUUUUGGCACUGUUGUCACUUUAAACUGUCACUUUAACCAUCGUAUUGCUCUGCUGCACUAUUUAGAUUUCCAUUUUAUUUUAUUUCAUUAUUUUUUAAGCUGCUGGCACUGUGUCAUGUGUAUGCAGCAUAUUUGACAAUAAAGCUGACUUUGACUUGG